CCCGCCCGGACGCCUGGAGGGCAGGCGGGGCCCAGAGUCCCGGGGCGGGGCGCUCACCAGAAGCCGGUGCUCCUCCAGAAGGGCCGCAGGGGCCGCAGCGCGCGCGCCGCAUCCACACGCACCAGGUGCGGGACCUCGGCCCGGGCUGCAUCGGGCGCGGCCAGGAGCGCGGCCAGGAGCGUGAGGAGCGAGGUGCGAGGCUGCGGGGGGCGCAUGGCGGCGGCGGGGCGGGGGCGCGGGGCACGGCAGGAACGCGGGGUCUGAGCCGCCGCCCGGGUCCGCCUCCGGUGGCGCCCACGUGACGCCGGGCGGGGCGAGGCUUCGGCUCCCGCGGCCCCGCCCGGACCUCGGCUUCCCGGCCCAGCGCCGAGCCGGUCAGGACCACGCCGGGCCCUGGGCUCUGCGAGGGAUCCCUGCGCGGGACGGAUGCGCCGACAGGCCUCUCCGUACGCCGCGCCUCAGGGCCGGUCGGGGGCACGCGGGACGUGUGGAGAGCUGGCCAGGUUGAAUAGAGACAUUGCAGAGAAACAAACUCUGAGAACAUUUGUCCCCAUCAACUCCAAGUGUCCUUGGAGCAGGAGGGAAACGGCUCCAUGGAAGCUCAGAGGUGCAGGCUGAAAAGCCGAAGAUGGUAUACACCAGGCGGGCGAGUCUACCAGAUGGCCGAACAGACUGAGCUUGGUGAUGCCUCAUGGGCUUACACCACAGCUAGAGGACCAGGCUGUGACAGGACCAGGCUGUGACAGCACCAGACGGGGUCGUGAGUGGCGAGGUCCUGGGUCUUGAGCUCGGAGCCCCAAAGAUGACACCCACUGUCCUCCGGGGUGCAUGGACUCUGCAGGCACAGUGCCAUUAAGGGUUGCCAUGAGAGCAUCCUGGAUUAUCCAUGGGCAGAAAUGUCACCCCUGUGUGUUCCUGACAAGGGGUGGCACAAGCAGUGUGACUGAGAGGGGGCUGAAGUGUCAGGGCGUCUGCCCUGGAGUCGCACUGGGCCUGGCAGCGACUGACUGUCCUGAAGGUGGGGAGCACAGUGUCCAAGGAAGGUGCUGCACAGUGGCCCCCACUAGAUGCAGGGGUGGGAGCUUUGGGUUUGUAGUCGGGGUCUCCACUGUGAGGGGACAGGGUCUGUGACCCGCUGCGCCCUGAGCUGGACAACUGCCUGGAACCGGGCUGAGUCCUGUGUGGACCAGGCUGGCUAGGGGCGGAAGUCAGUGCCCUCCUGUAGCUGGGGUCCCCACUGCUGCUCACCCAUGGGCCCCAAGGGGCUCCGAGGGCCCCGAGCACCUGGAGCUCCUCUGGCAUCCAUGCCUCUGAUCUGGGUCAAGGCAGGUGGGACAUCCAGAGGCCUCGUCUUGGCUUCCCUGUGCCAGGAAGGCCUGAGCGUGGCAGUGGUGGGGGUCAGGCCGGGGUCAGCAAGGGUCUCUGUCUUCAGCCAGACCGCAUGUGUUGGACAUGGGCCCUGCUGAAGGCCCACAGAGGAGGCCACCCGGAAAUUUCCUGGGUCGGGUGCCAGCACAGCGGGGAGUCUGCAACACUGAGGACGACACCUGUUGACUGACUGGGAGAUUUGGUAAAUGAGGAUUGUGCUGCCAGCAGAACCCAAGGUGUCACACAUGGGUAUCUAGAGUAUGUCACGAAGGUGUCAAGGGCACCAGGUCUUGCGCUACAGUUGAUGCUGCUCCUCAGUGGGCUCUUCCCACACAGACCAAGUGGGACGCACUCCAGGGGCCCUGGGCAGCCUGCAGUGGUGCACUGUGUCAUCUCUGUCCUGCUGGCUGUGGCAGGGCGUGCUGGGGUCCAGGAGGGGAAUACUUACCUGCUGCUGCCAAGGACGUAGUGACCUCGGCCUCUGGGCUCUGGGCCUGUGAGAUGGGACCAGUGUCCAGCGUCCUCAUCCACUGAGACUAUGAGGCGCCCUUUCAUUUUCCAGGUAAAAGAGCAGGGAAAACUGAUUCCCCAGUUUUGGUUAUUGAUUUUUUUUUUUUUUUUUGGUACUGGGGAUCAAACUUGGGUCCUUGUGCUUGUGCAGCAGGCGGCGAAACCACUGAGCUAAAUCCCCGGCCCGGCCCCCAGUUUUGGGUAUUGAGCCCACAGCUCGCAUAGGCUAGGCAAGUAAGUGUUCUACCACUGAGCCAUAGCCCAGCCCUUCUUUGUUUUAUUUUUUAUUUUUUUCUGUACCGGAGAUCAAACUCAGGACCUUGCACUUUUGAGGCAGGCGCAAUGCCGCUGAGCUAAAUCCCUAGUCCAGCCCUUCUUUAUUUUUGAGACAGGGUCUUGCUGAGUUGCCAAGGCUGUCCUCAAACUCAUGAUCCUCCCGCCUCAGUCUCCUGAGUAGCUGGGAUUGCAGUUGUGCACCACCACGCCUACUCAAAUAGGGCUUUUAUUGGCUCCCUUAUAUCUGAGUUUUAUUUUCUCCCAUUCCACACCCCCAAGGUGGAGUUUUUGUUUCCAUCUUGGGUUAUCAGAGGAAAAGGGAGGGUUGAGCCUGCCAGCCACCUCCAGGUGGGCCUUGUUCUGUACCACCCCCACCCCAAAAAACCUUGUUUUCCUCUUAAAUAUAGUUUAGCUUAUACUCUAGGCAGGCAGAUCUUUUCCUCAGCCUGUUCUGGUUUUAUUCACCCUGUGUUGUUACUUUCUGGUUCUGGAUGCUCUAGCCUUUGGGGCCUUAUCCUGUUCAGAUCACAAACCAACCAGAGAGAGCCUCAGGCAUCUCCUUUACCAACUCCACGCUCUACCCCAGGCCCCAAGCCCUGUGUGUUCCUGACAGGCGACAGUGAGAGCAGUGUGACAGAGGCGGCUGCAGCAUCAGGGCGUCUGUCCUGGAGUCGCAUCAGGCUGAGAAGAGGCGGCGAAGGUCUGCCCUCUGGCCUGUGCCCCACGCCAUCAACCCAGACUCCCCUGCAGCUGCCCGGCCGCCCCCACUCCCACCUCUGCUGGGCCCCCCAUUUGGGACACCAGAGUGUGCAUCUCUCUGGGGCCGCACUCUGCACCUGGCUGUACCUGGCUACAACCCCUGGGACACACUUCAGAGCAAAGUGCAGGCUGCUGCAGGGAAGGAGGAGGCUGGGAGCAGAGCACGACCAGAGGGAGCAGGUUGCGGGGCACCUUGAACACUUCCCAGUGAAGCCUGUGAAGGUGAAGACAGGCAGAGGGUGGGGCACAUCAGGGAGACCUUGGUCACAUGGCCACACGGCUCUGCAAAACUUGCCAGGGUGUCCUGACACAGCGCUGACCAAAGCAGCCACAGGCUGCAGCUUCCUCUCCACUGCCCUGGCUCUUGGGAAGCGCUGGUGAAGGCUGGCCCUGUCCUCUGGGACUUGGUGGAGUCUAUGCAGGUCCCUCCUGGCCACUUCCUGUUCAGUAGGGCGAAGGCCAGACAUCCUAGGGUAGGAAACAGCUUCCGGGAAUGAGGAGGAGGGAAUCGGCAGCUGUGGGACGGGACUGGGAUCGUGCUGAGCAGCAGGAUGGGAUGCUUUGCUGAGGUGCAUGGGAGAGGGACCCGGGAGGGCGUGGCGUCCAAGCUGUCCGCUACCAGGUGGGUCGGCAAGUGCAGCUACUGGGGUAAGCCGGGCAAGAGGAGCUAAAGGGUCUCCCUCUCUUCUCCUUGGAAAAUGAUAUUUCACCAUUGCUAUGAGACAACGAAAAAUGUGGAUAAAAAACUGUCUUGAUGUAGCAGGAAGUGAAGAAUAAAAGCCAUAGCAAUUUCUGGCUGAUGCUUGUUAAUAUUUUUAAAAUGUACAAUUUGUUAUGAUUUCUUCUCUUAUCCUAAAU
ensembl:lncRNA